ensembl:rRNA 5S_rRNA 5S ribosomal RNA
UGUUACGGCCAUACCACCCUGCGUGCAUCUGACUGCCUCUGCUCAUGGAAGCUAAGCAGGUCAGGCCUGGCUAAUCCUUGGAUGAGACACUAUCAUUUUCAAAACAGAAUCAUUGAGAUUCUGUCUCAA